UUCCGGUUGAUCCUGCCGGAAGUCACCGGUAUCGGAUUUCGACUAAGCCAUGGAAGUCAUCGAGUUGCUUGCAAUUCGAGGCGGCAUGCUCAGUAACACACAGUUAAUUUGCCCUAUGGUGGGGGACAAUCUCGGGAAACUGAGGCUAAUACCCCAUAGAUGAGAAAUACUGGAAUGUUUUUUCAUCCAAACGCAAGGCCAUAGGAUAAGACUGUGGCCUAUCAGGUUGUUGGCGGGGUAAAGGCCCACCAAGCCUAUGACGGGUACGGGUCGUGAGAGCGAUAGCCCGGAGUUGGGAUCUGAGACAAGAUCCCAGGCCCUACGGGGCGCACCAGGCGCGAAAUCUUCGCAAUGCGCGAAAGCGUGACGAGGGAAGUCCGAGUGCUUGUUUCCUUAGGAAGCAAGCUUUUUCUAAGCCUAAAAAGCUUUGAGAAUAAGGGCUGGGUAAGACCGGUGCCAGCCGCCGCGGUAACACCGGCGGCCCAACUGGUGGCCAUGUUUACUGGGCCUAAAGCGUCCGUAGCCGGAUGCGUAGAUCCCAAGUGAAAUCUGUUAGCUUAACUGACAGGCGUGCUUGGGAGACCGCGUAUCUUGGGACCGGAAGAGGUAGGAGGUAGGUCUUGAGUAGGAGCAAAAUCCUAUAAUUCAAGAAGGACCACCGGUGGCGAAGGCGUCCUACUGGGACGGGUUCGACGGUGAGGGACGAAGGCCAGGGGAGCGAACGGGAUUAGAUACCCCGGUAGUCCUGGCUGUAAACUAUGUGAGCCAGGUCUGUCAGUUUCUACGGGAGACUGAUGGGCCGAACCGAAGGGGUUAAGCUCACCGCCUGGGGAGUACGGUCGCAAGACUGAAACUUGAAGGAAUUGGCGGGGGGGCACCACAAGGGGUGGAACUUGCGGUUUAAUUGGAUUCAACGCCGGAA
rnacentral:rRNA from 1 species